rnacentral:rRNA from 1 species
UGGUCAAGUUAUUAAGGGUGCAGGGCGGAUGCCUUGGCACUAGGAGCCGAUGAAGGACGUGAUAAGCUGCGAUAAGCUUCGGGGAGUUGCACGUAAACUUUGAUCCGAAGAUUUCCGAAUGAGGAAACUCACUUAGAGUAAUGUCUAAGUAUCAUUAAGUGAAUACAUAGCUUAAUGAGGGGAACUCAGGGAACUGAAACAUCUAAGUACCUGAAGGAAGAGAAAGAAAUUCGAUUCCGUAAGUAGCGGCGAGCGAACGCGGAUUAGCCCAAACCAAUAAAGUUUUCUUUAUUGGGGUUGCGGACAUAUCAUAACGAAGAGGUAUCGUAAUUGAAGAGGUUUGGAAAGACCCACCACAGAAGGUAAUAGUCCUGUAUGUUAAACGAGAAGACUUUAGAUAUGAUCCAGAGUACCACGGGACACGUGAAACCCUGUGGGAAGCAGGAGGGACCACCCUCCAAGGCUAAAUACUACCUAGUGACCGAUAGCGUAUAGUACCGUGAGGGAAAGGUGAAAAGAACCCCGGGAGGGGAGUGAAAUAGAACCUGAAACCCUGCACUUACAAGCUGUGGAAGCACAUUUCUUGUGUGACCGCGUACUUUUUGUAGAACGGGCCAACGAGUUACGUUAAGUAGCAAGGUUAAGCACUUAAGGUGUGGAGCCGUAGCGAAAGCGAGUUUUAACUGAGCGUUCAGUUACUUGACGUAGACCCGAAACCGGGCGACCUACCCAUGAGCAGGAGGAAGCGAAAGUAAAAUUUCGUGGAGGUCCGAACCCACGAGCGUUGAAAAGCUCGGGGAUGACUUGUGGGUAGCGGUGAAAUUCCAAUCGAGCCCGGAGAUAGCUGGUUCUCCCCGAAAUAGCUUUAGGGCUAGCCUCAAGGUGAGAGAUACGGAGGUAGAGCACUGAAUGUCCUAGGGGGUAUUGCACCUACCGAAGACUAUCAAACUCCGAAUGCCGUCAUCUUAUACUUGGGAGUCAGACUGUGGGUGAUAAGAUUCAUAGUCGAAAGGGCAACAGCCCAGAUCGUCAGCUAAGGUCCCUAAAUGUAAGUUAAGUGGUAAAGGAUGUGGGAUUGCACAGACAACCAGGAUGUUGGCUUAGAAGCAGCCACUCAUUCAAAGAGUGCGUAAUAGCUCACUGGUCGAGUGAUCCUGCGCCGAAGAUUUCCGGGGCUAAAACUUACUACCGAAGCUACGGCAUCAGUAA